CAAUAAUGAAUAUACUACAAGUAACGAUAAUAAUAAAUAUACUACAAGUAACGAUAAUAAUAAAUAUUACCCAUCCAGUUAUAAUAGUGAUAAUGAUAGUAAUAGUGAAAACAGAGGUGAAACAAACGAAACGAAUAUGAUCUAUAAUAAAUUCACUUUAUAUGAUAGAUCCGUUGUUUUUAUAUUAGAUAAUAUUAGGUACUUAGUUCGAACACAUCCUGACUUAUUUUAUGCUCUAACAAGAAUACAUGAAUAUAUAAAAGGACCAUAUAACGAUUUAACAAAAGCUAAUAAACCAACAAGAGGAUUAUGUGUAAUUUUAAUUAAUAGAUCACCAUUACCCGAUGAAAUAUUUGAUGGAUUACCACAACCACCGACUGUAUGGUUUGAUUCUUAUACUGCUGAUAUGUGUAAAAAUAUACUCUAUCGAUAUUAUGAUACAAUGUGUUUUGAAUCUUUAUUAACAACUAAUGAUAAAGAAUUAAAAAUAUAUAUAGUAAAAACAAAAAAAAACGAAUUUUUAAUAAAAAAAAAAAAAAAAAAAAAAACCAAAAAUAAAAAUGAAUCUAUUUUAACCUUAAUUGGUCAAGCAAUACCUAAAAAUUUUACUUUUAUUAGAUGGUUAUGUUUAACUGAUUGUUUAUUGGUAUGUUUUUUUGACGAACAACUAGUAUUAAACAGUUUAAUAUGUAAACAGAUUAAUACUUUAAUACAAUUAGGUUUUAUAACUUUUACUUCUGCAAAUAAUAUGUCUAGUUUGGUUAGAAACAGUUUGAUGAAUGGAGUACAAUGGAGUGGUUAUUGUGGUACUGCUCUUCUAAACACAACAAAUAAUUAUACUUCCUUAAACAAUAACAUUUUUUUUGAUACUACCAAUACAAUGUCGUACGAAUCUUUAGAUCCGUAUACUAAGCUUGGUAUUCAAGUACCUGAAGAGGUUAUUCGAAAUAUUUCAAAAGAGAUGAAAAUACCACUAGACGAGUUGAUAUUAUGAUAGGAGGAGGGCACACACACAAAAAAAAAAAAAAAAAAAAAAAAAAAAAAAAAAAAAAAAAAAAAAAAGUAGAAAACUAUGUGCGCACGUCAAUGACCGAUUUUGCAUUCGUUACGUUGCAUUCGUCAUUUUAUUUUAUUUUAUUUUUUUUUUUUUUAUAUAUAUACGUCUUUAGCAACAAAUAAA
rnacentral:lncRNA from 1 species